CAGUAGCCGCGGUAAUACGAAGGGUGCAAGCGUUAAUCGGAAUUACUGGGCGUAAAGCGUGCGUAGGCGGUUUGUUAAGUCUGCUGUGAAAUCCCCGGGCUCAACCUGGGAAUGGCAGUGGAUACUGGCAAGCUAGAGUGUGUCAGAGGAUGGUGGAAUUCCCGGUGUAGCGGUGAAAUGCGUAGAGAUCUGGAGGAAUACCGAUGGCGAAGGCAGCCAUCUGGCCUAAUACUGACGCUGAGGUACGAAAGCAUGGGGAGCAAACAGGAUUAGAUACCCCCGUAGUCCCUGUCUCUUAUAC
rnacentral:rRNA from 1 species